rnacentral:rRNA from 1 species
UACGUAGGGUGCAAGCGUUGUCCGGAAUUAUUGGGCGUAAAGAGCUCGUAGGCGGCUUGUCGCGUCGAAAUGUGAAAACCCCGGGGCUCAACCCCGGGCCUGCAUUCGAUACGGGCAGACUAGAGUUCGGUAGGGGAGUCUGGAAUUCCUGGUGAGCGGUGAAAUGCGCAGAUAUCAGGAGGAACACCGGUGGCGAAGGCGGGACUCUGGGCCGAUACUGACGCUGAGGAGCGAAAGCGUGGGGAGCAAACAGG